AAUGAACGCUGGCGGCAUGCCUAAUACAUGCAAGUCAAACGAGAGGAAGGAAAGCUUGCUUUCCUGAAUCUAGUGGCGAACGGGUGAGUAACACGUAGGUAACCUGCCCAUGUGCCCGGGAUAACUUCUGGAAACGGAUGCUAAAACCGGAUAGGUAGCAGACAAGCAUUUGACUGCUAUUAAAGUGGCUAAGGCCAUGAACAUGGAUGGACCUGCGGUGCAUUAGCUAGUUGGUGAGGUAACGGCCCACCAAGGCGACGAUGCAUAGCCGGCCUGAGAGGGCGGACGGCCACAUUGGGACUGAGACACGGCCCAAACUCCUACGGGAGGCAGCAGUAGGGAAUUUUCGUCAAUGGGGGGAACCCUGAACGAGCAAUGCCGCGUGAGUGAGGAAGGUCUUCGGAUCGUAAAGCUCUGUUGUAAGAGAAAAACGACAUUCAUAGGGAAUGAUGAGUGAGUGAUGGUAUCUUACCAGAAAGUCACGGCUAACUACGUGCCAGCCGCCGCGGUAAAAC
rnacentral:rRNA from 1 species